AGAGUUUGAUCCUGGCUCAGAACGAACGCUGGCGGCGUGCUUAACACAUGCAAGUCGAGUGCGCGCCUGUAGCAAUACAGGUGGCGCACGGCGCACGGGUGCGUAACACGUGGGUAAUCUGCCCUCUGAUGGGGAAUAACUCGCCGAAAGGCGAGCUAAUUCCGCAUAAUAUUCCGAGAACUUUGGUUUUUGGACUGAAAGGCGUAAGUCGUCGGAGGAGGAGCCCGCGCACGAUUAGCUAGUUGGUAGGGUAAUGGCCUACCAAGGCUUUGAUCGGUAGCUGGUCUGAGAGGAUGGCCAGCCACACUGGAACUGAGACACGGUCCAGACUCCUACGGGAGGCAGCAGUGGGGAAUCUUGCACAAUGGGCGAAAGCCUGAUGCAGCGACGCCGCGUGGGGGAUGAAGCUUUUCGGAGUGUAAACCCCUUUCGACUGGGACGAAUGCCUCGCAAGAGGAGUGACGGUACCAGUAUAAGAAGCCCCGGCUAACUACGUGCCAGCGGCCGCGGUAAGACGUAGGGGGCCAGCGUUGUUCGGAAUUACUGGGUGUAAAGGGUUCGUAGGCGGUGUGGCAAGUCGGGAGUGAAAUCUCUGGGCUCAACCCAGAGACUGCUUCCGAAACUGCUGUGCUUGAGUGUGAGAGAGGCUCGUGGAAUUGCAGGUGUAGCGGUGAAAUGCGUAGAUAUCUGCAGGAACACCCGUGGCGAAAGCGGCGAGCUGGAUCACUACUGACGCUGAGGAACGAAAGCUAGGGGAGCAAACAGGAUUAGAUACCCUAGUAGUCC
rnacentral:rRNA from 1 species